rnacentral:rRNA from 1 species
AAUAGAUACCCGGGUAGUCCAUGCCGUAAACGAUGUCUACUAGCCGUUGGGGCCUUUGAGGCUUUAGUGGCGCAGCUAACGCGAUAAGUAGACCGCCUGGGGAGUACGGUCGCAAGACUAAAACUCAAAUGAAUUGACGGGGGCCCGCACAAGCGGUGGAGCAUGUGGUUUAAUUCGAUGCAACGCGAAGAACCUUACCUGGCCUUGACAUACUAGAAACUUUCCAGAGAUGGAUUGGUGCCUUCGGGAAUCUAGAUACAGGUGCUGCAUGGCUGUCGUCAGCUCGUGUCGUGAGAUGUUGGGUUAAGUCCCGCAACGAGCGCAACCCUUUCCUAUUUGCCAGCGAGUAAUGUCGGGAACUUUAAGGAUACUGCCAGUGACAAACUGGAGGAAGGCGGGGACGACGUCAAGUCAUCAUGGCCCUUACGGCCAGGGCUACACACGUGCUACAAUGGUCGGUACAAAGGGUUGCUACCUAGCGAUAGGAUGCUAAUCUCAAAAAGCCGAUCGUAGUCCGGAUUGGAGUCUGC